rnacentral:rRNA from 1 species
CCUACGGGGUGCUGCAGUGGGGAAUAUUGGACAAUGGGCGAAAGCCUGAUCCAGCCAUGCCGCGUGUGUGAAGAAGGCCUUCGGGUUGUAAAGCACUUUCAGUGGGGAAGAAAGCCUUGGGGCUAAUACCCUCGAGGAAGGACAUCACCCACAGAAGAAGCACCGGCUAACUCCGUGCCAGCAGCCGCGGUAAUACGGAGGGUGCGAGCGUUAAUCGGAAUUACUGGGCGUAAAGCGCGCGUAGGCGGUCUGAUAAGCCGGUUGUGAAAGCCCCGGGCUCAACCUGGGAACGGCAUCCGGAACUGUCAGGCUAGAGUGCAGGAGAGGAAGGUAGAAUUCCCGGUGUAGCGGUGAAAUGCGUAGAGAUCGGGAGGAAUACCAGUGGCGAAGGCGGCCUUCUGGACUGACACUGACGCUGAGGUGCGAAAGCGUGGGGAGCAAACAGGAUUAGAUACCCCAGUAGUC